CCUACGGGAGGCUGCAGUGAGGAAUAUUGGUCAAUGGGCGCGAGACUGAACCAGCCAAGCCGCGUGAAGGAUGACUGCCCUACGUGUGUUAAACUUCUUUUGUAAAGGAAUAAAGUGAGGCACGCGUGCCUGUUUGUGUGUACUUUAUGAAUAAGGAUCGGCUAACUCCGUGCCAGCAGCCGCGGUAAUACGGAGGGUCCACGCGUUAUCCGGAUUUAUUGGGUUUAAAGGGAGCGUAGAGGGGUUGUUAAGUCAGGUGUGAAAGUUCGCGGCUCAACCGCAAAAGUGCAGGUGAAACUGGCAGUCUAGAGUGCAGUAGAGGUAGGCGGAAUGCGUGGUGUAGCGGUGAAAUGCGUAGAUAUCACGAAGAACUCCGAUGGCGAAGGCAGUUGACUGGACCGCAACUGACGUUGAGGCUCGAAAGCGUGGGUAGCAAACAGGAUUAGAUACCCGUGUAGUC
rnacentral:rRNA from 1 species